rnacentral:rRNA from 1 species
GACGAACGCUGGCGGCGUGCUUAACACAUGCAAGUCGAACGGAAAGGCCCUGCUUUUGUGGGGUGCUCGAGUGGCGAACGGGUGAGUAACACGUGAGUAACCUGCCCUUGACUUUGGGAUAACUUCAGGAAACUGGGGCUAAUACCGGAUAGGAGCUCCUGCUGCAUGGUGGGGGUUGGAAAGUUUCGGCGGUUGGGGAUGGACUCGCGGCUUAUCAGCUUGUUGGUGGGGUAGUGGCUUACCAAGGCUUUGACGGGUAGCCGGCCUGAGAGGGUGACCGGCCACAUUGGGACUGAGAUACGGCCCAGACUCCUACGGGAGGCAGCAGUGGGGAAUAUUGCACAAUGGGCGGAAGCCUGAUGCAGCAACGCCGCGUGCGGGAUGACGGCCUUCGGGUUGUAAACCGCUUUCGCCUGUGACGAAGCGUGAGUGACGGUAAUGGGUAAAGAAGCACCGGCUAACCUCGUGCCAGCCGCCGCAGUAA